GACGAACGCUGGCGGCGUGCUUAACACAUGCAAGUCGAACGGAAAGGCCCUGCUUUUGUUGGGUGCUCGAGUGGCGAACGGGUGAGUAACGCGUGAGUAACCUGCCCUUGCCUUUGGGAUAACUUCAGGAAACUGGGGCAAAUACCGGAUAGUAGCUCCUGCUGCAUAGUAGUGGUUGGAAAGUUUCGGAGGUUGGGGAUGGACUCGCGGCUUAUCAGCUUGUUGGUGGGGUAGUGGCUUACCAAGGCUUUGACGGGUAGCCGGCCUGAGAGGGUGACAGGCCACAUUGGGACUGAGAUACGGGCCAGACGGAUACGGGAGGCAGAAGUGGGGAACAUUGCACAAUGGGCGGAAGCCGGAUGCAGCAACUCCGCGUGCGGGAUGACGGCCUUCGGGUUGUAAACCGCGUUCGCCUGUGACGAAGCGUGAGUGACGGUAAUGGGUAAAGAAGCACCGGCUAACUACGUG
rnacentral:rRNA from 1 species